GAUGGCAAUGGCCGCUCAAGUGGAGCCGCGACGCGCGCGCGGCGACACCUGCCCGCGCGCCGAGCUCCAUUGACGCGCCGCCGGCUUGGGUCUGGGGAUGGACGGGGUGACUGACUGGACAGACAGCCCAACACCACCUCGAAAUGCUGAAAGGGGAAGGGGCCCCGCCACGUGAUGGCAUAGGAUCCUCUGCGUCCCCGCCGCAGAUAGGAGGGACCGAGGGGAGAGGCCGCAGCAAGCCAGCGACUCAU
rnacentral:lncRNA from 1 species